rfam:Loxodonta africana unplaced genomic scaffold scaffold_30, whole genome shotgun sequence.
GGUGGCAUAGUGGUUAAGUGCUAUGGCUGCUAACCAAAAGGUCGGCAGUUUGAAUCUGCUCC